UCUCAGUUCGGAUUGGAGGCUGAAACCCGCCUCCAUGAAGUUGGAUUCGCUAGUAAUCGCGCAUCAGCCAUGGCGCGGUGAAUACGUUCCCGGGCCUUGUACACACCGCCCGUCAAGCCAUGGGAGCUGGGGGUGCCUGAAGUUCGUGACCGCAAGGAGCGACCUAGGGCAAAACCGGUGACUGGGCUAAGUCGUAACAAGGUACC
rnacentral:rRNA from 1 species